AUAUUGGUUGACACACACCAAUAAAGUCAACUGAAGAAGAAAAAGCAGAACAAUUUCGUCUUUACAAAUAUUUUCCUGUAUGUGAGAUAAUUUACUUGUUCUCUGUAAUAUCGUAUAGAUUUGGAAUCGUGACAUUAUCUACGGUGGAGGAAAAUAUGCAGGUUUCUCGACUCAUAAUACCCUGACUAUGAGAAGGGAUUGUGAGUGACGAUUCGUUUGGCAACCUUGUGACCCAGCAUGACACCGUGAACAAGAUUGGUCGACCGUCUUGCUGGAUCCGAAGCAAGAUACAUUGUCGCCAUGUUUUGUGUUUCGUUAAGGACUCAGAGUGCCCUUCCUGCGGAAGGAAAUGUCGACUCCCGGAACACUUAAAACAAAGUAACUGUACUACUGUAGCCAACACACUUAUUUUCUAAGACAAGCGAAGAAAUGCAUAGUUUCAACAAUGGAUCCGGACAAAGCUAUUCCGUUCCCCUCUACACUCCUGGAGUCCCCAGGUCAAACGUCUCCCGGGACUGCUUUACUGCUGGGUCUGGUUGACUGCAGGAAAACACCGGGGCAGAAUGGAACUGAGAGAGGAGGAGAAGAGAAGGAAGAGGGAGAUUGGAUUUCAUUAAGUAAGAACCAUGGUGUGUAGAUUAGACUACAGUCUGCUUCUGAAACAAUAGCGGAGGUGCAUAAAGAUGGCGGCCUGCAUUACUUACCACAAAUUAAUCAUUUUGCUGAGUUCACUGUAUUCUACUUUGCUGUCCUUUACUGUUGGUAUGGUCAUUAGCACAGUAAACAUGAUCCUAAUUUUAGCUUCAAGAUGGUGGCAAUUUGAAAAACCAAAAAAGUAGAUUGUUCAAUGUUCCAAUCAAUCAACACAAUGUUGCGCACCAUUGUUUCAGAACUCAGUGGAUAGUGCUAAAACAAUGACGUCAUAUCAGAAUUCUGCCAUCUCUAUGAACUUUAGUCAUUAAUUUAAUAAUUAUAUAUUGAUGAAAAUAUCGGUCAUUCCACAGAUUUUUAAGUGUACCUUGGUCCAAAAAUAUUUUUCACCUAAUUUUAACAUUCUGUCAUGUACAUCUUAAUACAUGUAUUUUUUUCCCCAUUUCAAAACAUUGAAUUAAAAUAUUACUAUACCAAGUGCCUAUGUGCCAAAUAAAGUAACAUGCUGACCACACUGCUCGCGUCACAUGCACAUAAAUGUGGUUCAAUCAUUGCACCCACGCUGCUCGCAGGCGUCAGCGAUCGUCAAAUAGAAAUUGGUUCAAUUGGUGACACUCAACUGCCUGCAAGUUCGGCAUUUCCCAUCUCCUUGUUGGUUUUUAGGAGCAUAUUCCACGUGGGUGAUUGAAAGAUGAAUUUAGGUCCACACUCCGGUAGGUUGUAGUAAUGCUGUAAACUUGGUUGCCAACCGCCAUAUAAAGUUCAAAGAAGAAAAAGAAGCCUCAAGGAAGGAUGAGAGAU